UCUCGAUAGCGUAAAAGUUAACUCCAAUUUGUAUGGAGUUGGGACGUUUAUUUACGUUUGCCGCUACGGGCGCUGUUCCAACUCCAUAUAAAUUUGAGUUAACUUUGACGCUAUCGA
rnacentral:pre_miRNA from 9 species